GUCAAGUCAAGAAUGACAAAUCAUAUAUAUUAUUAUAUCAAUUAUAUCAAUCAAUGUAUAAAUAAUUUAUUUUAACAAUACUAAUUGUCAAAUGUUUAGCUUUCUUUCAGAAAAGUUUUGAUCGUGAUUGUUUGUAGGUUUGUUGCAUUUUGAGUUGUGUUUUGUUCUUUGUUUUAUGUUUUUCCUUAACUAUUAUAAAUUUUGUAUAUUCGGUUCGAGGCAAUGUGCCGGAACGAAAGCUUCGGCGAGUCGGACGCCGACAAUACAGUGGUGGAGAUCGGAAAGGAUCCCUCUGAGGCUCCUUCAGAGAAAUUUCAAAUUUUCAAUUACCAAAUAUGUAAAAAAAAAAACGAUAAAAUUAAUUUAAUAAGCACGAUUAAAAAAAAAAAAGUAAUACCAGAAACAAGAAAACAACGAUUACUUUCAUGUAUCAAAUUAAAAACUAAGCUCAACUCAAUUGUAUAAUUGCAUCAUGCUCGGGGCUAGCGUGCAAAUUGCAAGGGGGAACAUCCUGCCACUCAUCCGCAUUGCGAGGCCAGGAAGGAAGCGUGUGCCAUACAAAAGAGCAUGAGGUUAGAGCCCAGCAUGUCGUCUCAGCCACACUCACUAUUAGCAGCAAAAGCAAACUUGCAUAUUGUCAAACUCCUUCACGUGAGAAACACUUUUUUCUUAAAGUUCCAUCCAAAAAUAAUUUGGAAUGUGGCAGAACUGCUUUUGAACUUCAGCAACCUUAAGAAUCAGAUAAAAAAUAGAAGAAGUUAAAUGUGGCUGAUCAAUUACCUCUGACACCAAAAUGGACGUUUAGCAGCCACAUUCCUCAGCCGCGAACUACACGAGGCUUGUGGUCGAGCAAGAGACAGUGAGCAAACUUUGGUAGGUUUCUGGAUGAGGUGUAGCCACUGAAAAUAAAUUUCUUCAUUCUGGCUGAUCCCACUCUGAACAUUAAUCGGGGAUCCUGAUAGUCUAUUGAAGACAUGUUUUGUGGACAUUUUCGUGUUUUGAAUUGUUGGCUUCGGGGCCAAGUGAAGCGUUGUUGUUGUUUUUCCCGCUUUUUUAGGCCUGCAGGAAUGACGGGUCGCUACAUUAUGGACGCUUCAUGGAUUAUACAUCAUAAUUGCAUCAUGGAAGGGUCUUCCUUUUUUCCUGCGUGUUGUUUGCCGCUCUUGUCUCCUUUUCUGUGACCAUACUGGUCUUACGUUGCAUUCUUACGUUUUAUUAUAAUCUAUAUUUUCUUAUACCCUUUUUAGUGUGAAUCUGAUUUUGUAAGCAAUUCAAUAAAAGAAAGUCAUGAAAACUAGCUCUUGAGAAUUGGUUGACAAAUCGCAAACAAUUGUAGUUUCCGUGCUUAGAGCCCUAGCUAUAUGGUAAUAUGAAUCAGAAUAUAAAAUCGAGGGGAAGUAUGUGGAGUUCGGUAUGGU
rnacentral:lncRNA from 1 species